AUUGAACGCUGGCGGCAGGCCUAACACAUGCAAGUCGAGCGGAGCGGCGGACGGGCGAGUAAUGCCUAGGUAUCUGCCUGGUAGCGGGGGCGAACGUCAGGAAACGGGCGCUAAUCUCGCAAAGUCUUAGAUGAGCAGAGGUCGGAAUAGCUAGUUGGUGGGGUAAAGGCCUACCAAGGCGACGAUCCGUAACUGUUCUGAGAGGAUGAUCAGUCACACUGGAACUGAGACACGGUCCAGACUCCUACGGGAGGCAGCAGUGGGGAAUAUUGGACAAUGGGCGAAAGCCUGAUCCAGCCAUGCCGCGUGUGUGAAGAAGGUCUUCGGAUUGUAAAGCACUUUAAGUUGGGAGGCGUUACCCACAGAAUAAGCACCGGCUAACUUCGUGCCAGCAGCCGCGGUAAUUC
rnacentral:rRNA from 1 species